GCUCCGUUGGUGAACCAGCGGAGGGGUCAUUACAGAGUUGCAAAACUCCCAAACCAUUGUGAACGUUACCUAUCCCGUUGCUUCGGCGGGCGGCCCGGGCCCCGCGCCCGGCGCCCCCCGGCCCCCCGUGGGCGCCCGCCGGAGGUAAACCAAACCCUUGAAUUGCAUGGCCUCUCUGAGUCUUCUGUACUGAAUAAGUCAAAACUUUCAACAACGGAUCUCUUGGUUCUG
rnacentral:misc_RNA from 1 species